CGGUGGACGCCGUGCCGGUGGGGGCGGGAAGACGGGGGGGGCGAAGGUUGUGCUGAUGCGCUGGGGGUAAAGGGGACGGAGGCGGGCCGGCAAAUCGAGCGUGGAAGAGCGACGCGUGCCGUCGGUGCGGCGGUCGAAAAUACCGGGCUCGAGGGCGUGAGGGGUCGCGGGAACUCCUGGUGGAGCGGUGAAAUGCGUAGAUAUCAGGAGGAACGCCGGAGGCGAAAGCGAGCGACUGGCGCGUUCCUGACGCUGAGGUGCGAAAGCUGGGGGAGCAAACAGGAUUAGAUACCCAUAGUC
rnacentral:rRNA from 1 species